CCAUAGCCCCGAUUGCAGCGGUUACCCCACAGCAAGCCUUGGGAUUGCGGCUGCGCGAGGAGUAUGAACGGAAAGCGGGAUUAAGC
rnacentral:misc_RNA from 1 species